AAAGGGAAGCCAAGCAAGGACUUUCGCCAGGCAAAUCCGCAAGGACGUCCAGAGCCGCCGGCCUUCCUUUGUUUGGCCCCCCCCCUUUUUAGGUUUCGGCCCGAGGACCGGGGCGCUUUAUCCCAUGAGGGCAAGAGGGGGUUCCCCAGAUAAGCGGGCAGGGGUUAACCUGGGUUACCUCCCUUAAAAUGGGAAAUCUCGGAACCGGGGUUAACCGGAGGUGUUUGACCCCAUGUUCAACUAAAAGGGGGUUGGGUCCCAUCCAAGUGGCCCCGGGCCUUACUAUUUGGGAGUACGGUCCCCAAGGCAAGUGGUUACCGACUGGGAGGGUUUGGCCCACUGGGAUUGGACACGGCCCGGAUUCUUCGGGAGCAGCAGUAGGGAUUUUCCGCAAUGACGAAAUUUGACGGGCAACGCCGGUGAGGGAUGAAGGUUUCGGAUCGUAAAGCUCUGUUGUUAGGGAAGAACAAGUCCCGUUCGAAUAGGGCGGUACCUUGACGGUACCUAACCAGAAAGCCACGGCUAAUUACGUGCCAGCAGCCGCGGUAAUACGUAGGUGGCAAGCGUUGUCCGGAAUUAUUGGGCGUAAAGGGCUCGCAGGCGGUUUCUUAAGUCUGAUGUGAAAGCCCCCGGCUCAACCGGGGAGGGUCAUUGGAAACUGGGGAACUUGAGUGCAGAAGAGGAGAGUGGAAUUCCACGUGUAGCGGUGAAAUGCGUAGAGAUGUGGAGGAACACCAGUGGCGAAGGCGACUCUCUGGUCUGUAACUGACGCUGAGGAGCGAAAGCGUGGGGAGCGAACAGGAUUAGAUACCCUGGUAGUCCACGCCGUAAACGAUGAGUGCUAAGUGUUAGGGGGUUUCCGCCCCUUAGUGCUGCAGCUAACGCAUUAAGCACUCCGCCUGGGGAGUACGGUCGCAAGACUGAAACUCAAAGGAAUUGACGGGGGCCCGCACAAGCGGUGGAGCAUGUGGUUUAAUUCGAAGCAACGCGAAGAACCUUACCAGGUCUUGACAUCCUCUGACAAUCCUAGAGAUAGGACGUCCCCUUCGGGGGCAGAGUGACAGGUGGUGCAUGGUUGUCGUCAGCUCGUGUCGUGAGAUGUUGGGUUAAGUCCCGCAACGAGCGCAACCCUUGAUCUUAGUUGCCAGCAUUCAGUUGGGCACUCUAAGGUGACUGCCGGUGACAAACCGGAGGAAGGUGGGGAUGACGUCAAAUCAUCAUGCCCCUUAUGACCUGGGCUACACACGUGCUACAAUGGACAGAACAAAGGGCAGCGAAACCGCGAGGUUAAGCCAAUCCCACAAAUCUGUUCUCAGUUCGGAUCGCAGUCUGCAACUCGACUGCGUGAAGCUGGAAUCGCUAGUAAUCGCGGAUCAGCAUGCCGCGGUGAAUACGUUCCCGGGCCUUGUACACACCGCCCGUCACACCACGAGAGUUUGUAACACCCGAAGUCGGUGAGGUAACCUUUUAGGAGCCAGCCGCCGAAGGUGGGACAGAUGAUUGGGGGAAGUCGUAACCAAGUUUGGUCCUUGA
rnacentral:rRNA from 1 species